GUUUCAAGUCUAAGGCCUGGACUUAAUUCCUUCUACCUCCUCCAAACGGCUGGUGUUCCUCUUCAUAUAAGUGCAGCUCUCAUCCCUCAUCAAGGAAGCUUCUCUUUUCAGCCGUGGGACACCACUGCAGAGAGCCACAACUAGUCAAAAUAUAGAAAACAACUAAUUGUGGGGUGUCCAGCCCAACUGACACAUGUAAAUACAAUUCCCAAAUCUGAGGUUCAGAGAACACCAUGGAUGAAGGAGGAGAAAGACUGCAAGAGCCAGAGGCACACAACAUCUGCUGCGAGACUGUGUCUUCUAAAAUGACAGGGAAGCUGCGUCCAUGAAACCUCCACAAUAUGGCUACCUAAACAAGACGUGAAAAUGACAACACCAAGAGACAUGUUACCACGGAGGGAGAAAAUCCCAGGAUGUCCCAUCUCUAGAUGAAGAACUACAGGCAAUUAAUGACUGCUGAGAAAGAGAGACUUAGUCUUCCCCAGUGAUGAACCCCCUAAUUGGUUUUCCAACACCAAGUAAUCAGUCCUAAAAAUAUAUACACAAGCGACACUACAUGGACUCAUUGGGUUAUAGUUGUGUAUUUAUGCAUUUAUACAUAUAUGUAACAAUAAUAAUUAAGGGAAAAGAGGCCAUGAACUUAAAAGGAAAUGGGGGAAACAUGGGAAGAGAGGAAGUGGGAAAUUAUAUAAUUGUAUUUAAUCUUUUAAGUUAGAAAAAAAUGACUUAAUCUUACAUCAUAUAAGAUGGAUACAAUUAUUCAUAGGAAAAAAUACUCCCAUUGGAAAGGUAGGAAAAUAAAGACUUAGAUAACCAAUAUGUGUAACAUUGUCCAACUCUCUCCUGACACAACUUAAUCAAGCCCAGCCAGUCUUGCUAGAGGAUCAGUGUUGCUAAUCAUUGGGCAACACUGCCUCCUACAAAUGGUGGUGGUGGUGGGGGGGGAAUCCCCAUUUAAACUGUUCCCUUCUCAUAAACAAAUAUAUAAACAUGUGCACAGCCAUAUGUGUUUUGGGUAAAUAUGUACCUUCAUGCUGUAAACUUAGUACAAUUGGAAAUAGUGAACUCUUUUCUAUCUAGUUAGGACCAUGGAACUAAAAACAAUACAGUCCAUUUCAAUUGGAUUUGGAUAAAACUCCACAGCAGAAAGUGAGGAAUAAUGGUCUGUAAAUACACACCAUUACAUAGCAACUAAUGUAUAAAAGUCCAUGAAAAUAGUACAGUAAUGACUCAUAAGCAAAUACCUCUAUUCCAACAAAGAAUUCUCCUUGGUCCUACAUAAGGAGCUUGAUAUUAUUAAAGGAUUCUGUGAUCCAAUACCUUCUAAGGACCAUUUUUCUAUUCAAUUUAUUCACUCUUAAAAUGUACUCUACAGAAUAAAUAUAUAAGAAUCACCUAGAUGUGAGGAAAAAAAUGGAUUUCUGGAGUCCACCACAUAGGUGAUGAAUGAGAAUUUCCAGGGGCCUGAGAACCUGCACUGUAGGCAUUUCCUUCUAUGAAGAGCUAGUAAUUGUCAGCUUGACAGGAUCCGCAAUCACCAGAAGAGACAAGUCUCUGGACAUGCGAAUGAGGGAUCACCUACGUUAGGCCAACAGAGAAGACCCACCCUAAAUGUGGCAACCCCUUCCACGGUCUUAGGAUCCUGAACCCCACAAAAAGAAGUCUAUCGAGCAUUCACCUCUCCCUGCUUCCUGGCUGCAGAUACAAUGAUGUCAACAGCCCCAUGCUCCUUCCAGCAUGCCACCCUCAGUAUGAUGGACUGUAACCUAGAGCUAUGAGCCCAGAGAAACCCAUCCUCCCUCAAGCUGUCAAGGUUUUUAAUCACAGCAAUGAGAAAAAGUAACUAAUAUACUGGUCCUGCUUAUCCACUUCCUGUUCACGCGCACACUAAAUUACCCAUGAUAGCAAGUCCCACUAUAACCACCAAGUCCUUAAUCUAUUAGAGGCAUCACCUCCCUCUCCCUCAUUUGAAUCCUUAAGACAUUUAUUUCUAAAUCCAGUGAAAGCCGGUUUCCCUCUCACUGUUCUGUUGUGAUUUUAAGGGAAGUGAAAUAUAUCCCUGAACUCUGAGCCAUAUCCUGUUAGUCUCGGGUUAUGGUGUUUACAUAAGGUUUUAAUUCCACAUACACUGAUUUACAAUUCAGCCAGUUCACAAGUUCCAAGUUAAUGUAUGAGGGACAUCUAACAAAUGAUCGCUGGAAAAAUAAAUGACCAACUUACCCUU